GUGCUCGCUUCGGCAGCAACAUAUACUAAAAAAUGGAAAGAUACAGAGAAGAUUAGCAUGGCCCCUGUGCAAGGAUGACACACAAAUUUGUGAAGCGUUCCAUUUUUUU
rnacentral:snRNA from 1 species